AACGCUAGCUACAGGCUUAACACAUGCAAGUCGAGGGGCAGCAUGGUCUUAGCUUGCUAAGACUGAUGGCGACCGGCGCACGGGUGAGUAACACGUAUCCAACCUGCCGUCUACUCUUGGACAGCCUUCUGAAAGGAAGAUUAAUACAAGAUGGCAUCAUGAGUCCGCAUGUUCACAUGAUUAAAGGUAUUCCGGUAGACGAUGGGGAUGCGUUCCAUUAGAUAGUAGGCGGGGUAACGGCCCACCUAGUCUUCGAUGGAUAGGGGUUCUGAGAGGAAGGUCCCCCACAUUGGAACUGAGACACGGUUCAAACUCCUACGGGAGGCAGCAGUGAGGAAUAUUGGUCAAUGGGCGAGAGCCUGAACCAGCCAAGUAGCGUGAAGGAUGACUGCCCUAUGGGUUGUAAACUUCUUUUAUAAAGGAAUAAAGUCGGGUAUGGAUACCCGUUUGCAUGUACUUUAUGAAUAAGGAUCGGCUAACUCCGUGCCAGCAGCCGCGGUAAUACGGAGGAUCCGAGCGUUAUCCGGAUUUAUUGGGUUUAAAGGGAGCGUAGAUGGAUGUUUAAGUCAGUUGUGAAAGUUUGCGGCUCAACCGUAAAAUUGCAGUUGAUACUGGAUAUCUUGAGUGCAGUUGAGGCAGGCGGAAUUCGUGGUGUAGCGGUGAAAUGCUUAGAUAUCACGAAGAACUCCGAUUG
rnacentral:rRNA from 1 species